rnacentral:rRNA from 1 species
AGCGAACGCUGGCGGCAGGCCUAACACAUGCAAGUCGAACGAACUCUUCGGAGUUAGUGGCGGACGGGUGAGUAACACGUGGGAACGUGCCUUUAGGUUCGGAAUAACUCAGGGAAACUUGAGCUAAUACCGGAUGUGCCCUUCGGGGGAAAGAUUUAUCGCCUUUAGAGCGGCCCGCGUCUGAUUAGCUAGUUGGUGAGGUAAAGGCUCACCAAGGCGACGAUCUGUAGCUGGUCUGAGAGGAUGAUCAGCCACAUUGGGACUGAGACACGGCCCAAACUCCUACGGGAGGCAGCAGUGGGGAAUCUUGCGCAAUGGGCGAAAGCCUGACGCAGCCAUGCCGCGUGAAUGAUGAAGGUCUUAGGAUUGUAAAAUUCUUUCACCGGGGACGAUAAUGACGGUACCCGGAGAAGAAGCCCCGGCUAACUUCGUG